rnacentral:rRNA from 1 species
AUCCGGAAACGGGUGCUAAUACCGCAUAGUUUUCUUGAUCGCAUGAUUGAGAAAGGAAAGACGGCCUUUGUAGCUGUCGCUUAUGGAUGGGACCCCGCGGCGUAUUAGUUAGUUGGUGAGGUAACGGCUCACCAAGACGAUGAUACGUAGCCGACCUGAGAGGGUGAUCGGCCACAUUGGGACUGAGACACGGCCCAAACUCCUACGGGAGGCAGCAGUAGGGAAUCUUCCGCAAUGGACGAAAGUCUGACGGAGCAACGCCGCGUGAGUGAAGAAGGGUUUUUUCCGGGAUCGUAAAAACUCUGUUGUCAAGAGAAGAACAAGUUGGAGAGUAACUGCUCCAGCCUUGACGGUAUCUGACCAGAAAGCCACGGCUAACUACGUGCCAGCAGCUGC